rnacentral:rRNA from 1 species
AGAUUAGAGUUGAUCGAGGCUCACGAUGAACGCUAGCUACAGGCUUAGCACCUGCUUCUCCCCGGGCAUCAGGAGAGAAGCUUGCUUUUCUUGCUGGCGACCGGCGCACGGGUGAUUAACGCGUAUCCAACCUUCCCCUUAGUAGGGCAUAGCCCGGCGAAAGUCGGAUUAAUACCCUAUGUUGUCCGACAAAGGCAUCUGACUUGGACCACAGACUCGUCGCUAAGGGAUGGGGAUGCGUCUGAUUUCUUCAUCUUUCUUGGCAACGGCCCACCUACCCUACCAUCAUCACGGGUUCUGAGAGGAACGUCCGCCACAUUGGUACUGACACACGGACCAAACUCCUACGGGAGGCAGCAGUGAGGAAUAUUGCUCAAUGGUCGAGAGCCUGAACUAUCCAAAUAGCGUGCAUGACGACUGCCCUAUGGGUUGUAACUGCUUUUAUGCUGGGAUAAGUGACGUACGCGUCGUUUUUGACUACGCAGAUACGACCGGGUAUUCCGUGCACAGCCGCGGUAUUCUGAUGUCUGACGUGAUCUGAUUACUGGAUGAUGUAGCGCAGCUGAUGUUAACGAUGCUGAAUGUCGGCUGACCGGGCAUUCGUGCGAAUUGCGUUUUGAUGUGUGCAAGGGGGGGAAUCUGGUGUAGGGGGAAGGUGUUUAAACAACACAUUGAAGGUGGGCCAGAUCCAGGUCUAAGGUACUGUACGAUACG